AUUUGCACUUUAUUUUAAAUAAUUUUGUCACUUUUAUAAUUUUUUAGAAUAUAUAUAUAUAGAGAGAGAGAGAGAGAAAGAGAGAGAGAGAGCUAUUUCUUGAACUUCAAAAGCUAACCCACUUAGGAACCAAGUUUUGGGCCAUCCUUUUUCCUCGUAUUGCAAUUUGCAGCCUAAGUUCCACUUCAAAACAACCCAAUCCAAUUUCCUUUGCACUCCAAUUCAGCCGCCCCAGCCCAUUAUUUUAACCUUGACCCGACCCUGCGCGUGUUUCUUCCUAUCCUUGCACGCGAGCAAUGCACAAACCAGAACCUUGUAGGCCGAAAUCCAAUUCGAAACUCAGCGAACCCAUCGCGACCCGAGUCCUGCAAAUCCAGGUGUCUCAAUCUCGUGUACCCACUCGUCCUUGCUCGAAAUCAAGCAGCCCUUCUUCUCCAGCCGUUGAGAAUUGUCGGAGUGUGGUACAAAUUCAAGUUGUCCAGCCUUAUCUCUGAGAGUUUUUGAAUUUUGAAUGAAAAUUUUAUCCAAAUAUUUCCUCCCGGGUUCCCCCUAUUUUUUCAGCUUUGGUUUCUCAUAUAAAAGCUCCACUCUUGCUUCAGCUAGGGGGUUGGGAAAAAAAUAAAGUUUGAAUGGAAAGAGGUUGAAGAAUAUAUUUCAUUCAUAUAAGCAAGAACUCAUAUAUAGAGAAGAAUCUCGAAUAUAAAGUUUUCAAUGUCAAACCGACCUGAAUUCAAUAAAGUGAGAUAGUCAUUGAAAGGCUCAUUUUGUCCCGGAUUGCUGCUCUCCAAAAGCAAGUGUACCGGCAAAUUUGACUCGCCCUCAGCUCUAGCAAGUCUCGGCAUAUCAUGUUCAAGGGUGAGUUGUUCAUUCGAGCUUGGGUUGGAUUCUCUUGGUCAUUACAUGCUGUCCUUAGUUUUCGGACACAAAUUACUUUAUUUCAUUUAUUUUGUUGUCUUUAGUACUCUUAGACUUAGUAAUUGGAGAUUAGAUGUCCUUGUUGUGAUGACUUUUAGGUUUUGGGAACGAUUAAUUAAUAAGUUUUGAAGCUUCCGCAUUAUUUUGUUAUUCGUAGUUGAGUUAUUGGUACAUGUUGGUAUUUGGAUUCCUUGGUUCGCCUACCUAGGUAGUUAAGUUUGGGUGCCACUCACGACUCGAUUUGGGUCGUGACAUAGUAAUUUGAGUUGCAUUAUUUUCUUGUGCACUUGAGAUGCUCUAAUUAAUGUGGUUUUGGUCCUAAAUUUUUGCCAUGAUUUAGUUAAAUUGUUGACCCUCUUGAAGACAUUUAUAUAGUUAUUAAAUAUUUGCUAAAGCUACUGUCGGGAUUGGUAAAAUGAGAGCAUAAUUCAUAUAAAACGUGUCAUAAUGUUAAUAUAUUAUUUGGGUUAUAUAGCUAUGUGUUUUAACUUGAUGUUAACCAUUUUAGAGAUAAUUUUUUCUAAUGUAUUUCUCAUUUUUCUAUGUUGCAUGUGAAAUUUGACGGGGUUCACUUUGAAUUCUCAUAUUUCUCCUCGCAUUUUGGGAGAGCAGUAAAGGCUUAAUUUCGAUAUCAUCGAGUCAAACCCAUAAAUUGAUGAAUAGGUUCCCGAGAUGAAGAAUUUGAAACAAACGGAGAAGUUGAAAUAUUGGACUUAAGGCCCACUUUUUUAUUUUUCCAAAUAUUGUAUUUUGUUAUUUUUUGUGUUAGCCCUUAUCAUGUUGUAUUAUUAUUAUUCGGUUAGUUUAGGACAAGUACCGUUGGAAUGAGCCAAAAGCUCAAAAUGAAAUGGGUCCAAAUACCGGUCCAUACGAAUAAAAAACCCGACUCUCUUUCUCUUUUAUUUUAUCGCUUAUUUGCUUGUUAA